rnacentral:rRNA from 1 species
ACGGGUGAGUAAAAGGUAGGGACCUACCCCGAGGACAGAGAUAGCUACUGGAAACGGUAGGUAAACUCUGAUAAGCCCGAGAGGGGAAAGUGGAAGGCAGCCUUGGGAUGGACCUACUAUCCAUCAGGUAGUUGGUGAGGUAAAGGCUCACCAAGCCGAUGACGGAUAACCGGUGUGAGAGCAUGUACGGUCACAAGGGCACUGAGACACGGGCCCUACUCCUACGGGAGGCAGCAGUGGGGAAUAUUGGACAAUGGGCGAAAGCCUGAUCCAGCGACGCCGCGUGAAGGAAGAAGUCCUUCGGGAUGUAAACUUCUGAACUAAUCGAAUAAAAGGGUAGUGGACACACUACAGAAGAAGGUAGAUUAGGAAAAGUCCCGGCUAACUACGUGCCAGCAGCCGCGGUAAGACGUAGGGGGCGAGCGUUGCCCGGAAUCACUGGGUGUAAAGGGGACGUAGGCGGAUGAUCAAGUCAUCUGUGAAAAGAUUGCUCAACGAUUGGCUUGCGGAUGAAACUGGUCAUCUUGGGCGUAGCAGAGGUAGACGGAAUUACCUGAGUAGGGGUGAAAUCCGCAGAUACAGGUAAGAACGCCGGUGAAGAAGUUGGUCUACUAGGCUACAGCUGACGCUGAGGUCCGAAAGCCAGGGGAGCGAACCGGAUUAGAUACCCGGGUAGUCCUGGCUGUAAACGAUGCUCACUAGGUGUAGGGAGCGAAAGACUCUCUGUGCUGAAGCUAACGCGAUAAGUGAGCCACCUGGGGAGUACGUCAGCAAGGAUGAAACUCAAAGGAAUUGACGGGGGUCAGCACAAGCGGUGGAGCAUGUGGUUUAAUUCGAAGCUAACCGAAGAACCUUACCAGGGAUUGACAUGUAACUGAAGGUAGAGAAAUCUACUGGCCUGCCGUGAGGUAGGAGGUUACACAGGUGGUGCACGGUCGUCGUCAGCUCGUGCCGUGAGGUGUUGGGUUAAGUCCCACAACGAGCGCAACCCCUACAAUUAGUUACCAGCAAGUAAAGUUGGGGACACUAAUUGGACAGCCGCCGACGAGGCGGAGGAAGGAGGGGAUGACGUCAGAUAAGCGUGCCCCUUAUACUCUGGGCGACACACGUGCUACAAUGGGGAGGACAAAGGGAAGCGAAGCCGAGAGGUGGAGCGGAUCCGAAAAACUCUCCGUAAUAUGGAUUGUAGGCUGAAACUCGCCUACAUGAAGCUGGAAUCGCUAGUAAUCGCAGGUCAGCCAAACUGCGGUGAUACGUU